UCCUGUCUGUCUGCUUUCCAACAGACACAGGAGACAAGUUCACCUUUCAGCCUAAAACACAAGACCAAAUAUACACCGGAGUUGCUUACGAAGACGACAUUGAAUGUUCCUGAGUGGCCUAGUUACAAUUUCGACUGAAAUUGGCUUGAAAAUCUACGAUCAAUGAUCAACAACCAACUCGACAACCUUGAAGAAUUUUUUAAAGAAUAAUCUGCACAUAUUGUACAGCUCUUAGGGACUUACCCAGAAAGACUCACAGCUGUAAUCGUUGCCAAAGGUGACUCAGCACUGAACAUGUUAGCAUGUGGUUUCCAUAUAGAAGAGUGAAGCGAUGGCCCUACUUCAUCUGUCAUAGUAGAAACAGAUGGCAGCCCACUAUGAGAUGGGAAAAUUGAGAUAUUCUGAGAGUACUCUUCUGCGGAAUGAAAGGAGAAAUCUGGGUGGCCAUCAGGGUCAGUGUCUCUGCCUGGAUCCACAGAGGUCCACAGCUGCCCAUCAGACUCAUCCAUAACAAACUGGUCAGGACCUGCCAGGGUCGUGGUCUGAUCCAGCUCCUCCUCUUUCACCAUCACUAGGUCUAGGAAGUCCUCGUCCUCAUCUGGCUGGUGCUGCUCUGAACACCUUUGUAGAUGCGAGCUGGGGUGUGCCUGGUUCCUCUGGACGAUCAGAAUUGGGGUAAUGUUUUACUGAGUGUUCAGGAGAUAUGUUGGGUUGUGUGAUGAAGUCCUCAUCACAGUGCUGUUGCUCAAAGGAUGGUGGUUUCCCAGGCUUGAAACCAGAUUCUAAAGAUUUGGGUAUAAACAUUAAGAAACAUUACAAAAGACCCUUAACAGUUGCAAAACAUGACUGCUUUAGAACUGACACCACACCCACACAGUCUUCCAUAGACAGACAGAGCAGUGCCCCUUAUGGUCACACCCACCCUCUCCAGUGAUCCUGAGCUCUUCCUGAAAAUCAGUCUUCCACACAUCCUCUGUCUCCUCAUCUUUGAUCAGUAUGGGUUCAGUCUCCACUCUCUGCUCCACAUCUGUAGGCUGUAACAGGGACUGAGGUUAUUACUCUGGACACACACCAUAUAUGCAUUUAUAUUACCUUUAUUCAACCAGGAAAAUCCCAUUGAGACACAGUCUAUUUUGCAAGGGAGACCUGGCCAAGAAGGCAGCAGCAAUCAAUACAUUACAACACUUAAAACAUACAAUACAAUCCAGCCUACAGGAAACAUUUACACUCCUCCUGAACAGAGUUUUGUACUAGAGUUUUAAAGUAAUUGAGAGGCACUAGACUACUACAUCUAGUUGAAGCAUACUUUGUAGAAAAUGUCAUGCCUCUGGUGCACAAUAAAGAAGGCAGUCUUGCCUAACUCAGUAACAGCCCUGGGGACUUUAAGCGGAAACCACCUAGUAGACCGGGUCUGGUAACUGCUAGCGAUGAAGAAAAGCAGGUUACAGAGAUAAAGAGGGAGUUUACCCAGAAGGGGUAUAUGAACAUAUAUCUAACACUUUUCAUACUCAUGAAUCACACAAAAGCAAAAACAUUCUACUGAUAAUCCAAUAUCAGAAUUGAUCCAAGAGGCCAGCCAGGUCUCUGUAAUUGUAAAAGGUGAUGUAUCACACCUGGGGUUGAGAGUCCUCCUCAACAGCCAGCUCUUCGUCUCUGCACUGUGAGGUACUCCUCUGCUUGUUCAAAACAAUCUUGACUGGAUAUGAAGAUCUCUCUGAUGCCAUGAGGUAAAAAAAGGGAAAAUAAUUGUGUUCAGUCAAAUAUUAGGGCUAUUCACACAUUUGCUUUUUGCAUAUACAAUCAAUUUAACAUAAAUAACACAACUACCUUG